UACAGAGGUCUCAAGCGUUGUUCGGAUUCAUUGGGCGUAAAGGGUGCGUAGGUGGCGCCGUAAGUCAGGUGUGAAAUUUCGGAGCUUAACUCCGAAACUGCAUUUGAUACUGCGGUGCUUGAGGACUGGAGAGGAGACUGGAAUUUACGGUGUAGCAGUGAAAUGCGUAGAGAUCGUAAGGAAGACCAGUGGCGAAGGCGGGUCUCGUGGACAGUCCUGACACUGAGGCACGAAGGCCAGGGGAGCAAACGGG
rnacentral:rRNA from 1 species